rnacentral:rRNA from 1 species
AACACGUGGGUAACCUGCCCAGAAGUAGGGGAUAACACCUGGAAACAGAUGCUAAUACCGUAUAACAGAGAAAACCGCAUGGUUUUCUUUUAAAAGAUGGCUCUGCUAUCACUUCUGGAUGGACCCGCGGCGUAUUAGCUAGUUGGUGAGGUAAAGGCUCACCAAGGCAGUGAUACGUAGCCGACCUGAGAGGGUAAUCGGCCACAUUGGGACUGAGACACGGCCCAGACUCCUACGGGAGGCAGCAGUAGGGAAUCUUCCACAAUGGACGCAAGUCUGAUGGAGCAACGCCGCGUGAGUGAAGAAGGGUUUCGGCUCGUAAAGCUCUGUUGUUAAAGAAGAACGUGGGUAAGAGUAACUGUUUACCCAGUGACGGUAUUUAACCAGAAAGCCACGGCUAACUACGUGCCAGCAGCCGCGGUAAUACGUAGGUGGCAAGCGUUAUCCGGAUUUAUUGGGCGUAAAGCGAGCGCAGGCGGUCUUUUAAGUCUAAUGUGAAAGCCUUCGGCUCAACCGAAGAAGUGCAUUGGAAACUGGGAGACUUGAGUGCAGAAGAGGACAGUGGAACUCCAUGUGUAGCGGUGAAAUGCGUAGAUAUAUGGAAGAA